GUCCAGGGAUGGGAAUCGAACCCAACACUGUUCCGCUUACCGGGCAGAUGCCAUGUCCACUAGGCUACCCUGGA